rnacentral:rRNA from 1 species
UACGGAGGGUGCGAGCGUUGUUCGGAAUCAUUGGGCGUAAAGCGUACGUAGGCGGUGAAGUAUGUCUGGUGUGAAAGUUUGGGGCUCAACUCCAAAAGUGCAUUGGAAACUGCUUCACUUGAAUCUUGGAGAGGUUGGCGGAAUUCCUGGUGUAGAGGUGAAAUUCGUAGAUAUCAGGAGGAACACCGGUGGCGAAGGCGGCCAACUGGACAAUGAUUGACGCUGAGGUACGAAAGCGUGGGGAGCAAACAGG